AUUGAACGCUGGCGGCAUGCCUUACACAUGCAAGUCGAACGGCAGCACGGGAGCAAUCCUGGCGGCGAGUGGCGAACGGGUGAGUAAUAUAUCGGAACGUGCCCAGUAAUGGGGGAUAGCCCGGCGAAAGCCGGAUUAAUACCGCAUACGACCCUCGGGUGAAAGCAGGGGAUCGCAAGACCUUGCGUUAUUGGAGCGGCCGAUAUCAGAUUAGCUAGUUGGAGGGGUAAAAGCCUACGAAGUCGACGAUCUGUAGCUCGUCUGAGAGGACGACCAGCCAGACUUGGAGUGAGACGCGGGCAAGACUCCUACGGGAGGCGGCAGUGGGUAAUUCUGAGCAAUGGGCGCCAGCCGGAUCCAGCAAUGGCGCGUUUGGGAAGGAGGCCUUCGGGUUGUAAACCACUUUUUUCAGGGAAGAAACGCUCUGGAAUAAUACUUUGGGGUAAUGUCGGUACCUGAAGAAUAAGCACCGGCUAACUACGUGCCAGCCGCCGCAGUACAAC
rnacentral:rRNA from 1 species